rfam:Beta vulgaris subsp. vulgaris 0282.scaffold00740.con0001.1, whole genome shotgun sequence.
AAACCAUGAUGAGGAUAAAGGCACUGCAGAUCCUUGAAUCUUUCCCAGGCUUCAUACAACUACUCUCCAGGAUCUUGGGUGAAAGGCACUAUCUCAUGACGCAU